CCCACGUGUCAGGGGUGCGCAGAAGGCAGACGCGGGGGCCAGGAGGAAUCCAGUACCAGUCUUUCCAAGCCCAGCGCUGGCGAAGGGCGGAGAGGAGGUAAACUAGUCUUUCACCUUUGGACCUGCCAAAGCCUUCGUUGAAUUGAGUUGAGCGCCUCUGACUUGCUAGAGGGCCAGGGAGGGAGUUCACGGACAGAGUUAACUAAAAAGAGUUGGAGAUCGCCAGAAUCUAAGAAUGCCAGAAAUGUGGCUUGGGUCCUGAAACCCCGGGAAAACAGUGGAUGAUGUUCCAGUACAACGCAUCUUUAUCUUUGAGAUCCCGCGGAAGUCCAAGACUUUGAUGGCAGGAUGUGGGCCCUGGUCCCACACGCUCAGCGGAAGCCCUGGAGUGAGAACCACAAGUUAACGUGUACGGAGUUGAAUUGCUUUUCUGCAACUUUGACCCACUGACACUGGAAUUGAGGCAAUGAGCUUUGUAGGUGGGACUCAGGUCAUUCUUUGUAGGAGAGGCAGUGGUAAAGAUUAGGUGGAAAAUGGACCUCUGCUUACCAUCGGUGUGACUUUGGACAAGUUCUUUAUUUCUCUGUGUCUCAGUUUCGUCAUUUGAGAAAGUGGAAUAAAAACAAUACCUAUCUUA